CCAUAUCAUAAUGAAACACCAGUUCUGAUCCAGUCACCAAAGUUAAACAACAUCGAGCCUGAACAGUACUUAUAUGGGUGACCACUUGGGAAUGCCAGGUGCUGUAAGC